rnacentral:misc_RNA from 1 species
UCUCCGUUGGUGAACCAGCGGAGGGAUCAUUACCGAGUUUACAACUCCCAAAACCAAUGUGAAACAUAACAAACUGUUGCCUCGGCGGGGUCACGCCCCGGGGCGUCGCAGCCCCGGAACCCGGGGCCCGCCGGGGGGGCCCACCGAAAGCCUUCUGUAGUUCCCUCGCGGACGGUCUUUUUAAAUCUCUGGGACAAAAUUUAAAAAGACUAAAAACUUUCAACAACGGGUCUCUUGGUUCUGGGAUGGAAGAAGAAGGCAGGAAAAGGGUACAGCAAA